rnacentral:rRNA from 1 species
GACGUAGGGCGCGAGCGUUGUCCGGGUUUAUUGGGCGUAAAGAGCUCGUAGGCGGUCUGUUGCGUCCGCUGUGAAAACUCGGGGCUUAACCCCGAGCCUGCAGUGGAUACGGGCAGACUAGAGGUAGGUAGGGGAGAAUGGAAUUCCCGGUGUAGCGGUGAAAUGCGCAGAUAUCGGGAGGAACACCGGUGGCGAAGGCGGUUCUCUGGGCCUUACCUGACGCUGAGGAGCGAAAGCGUGGGGAGCGAACAGG